CUUCUGUGUGUGGACGGAGCCAGGCCCCUGUGGAAGAUCAGCGCCGACCAUCUAAUAGUGACCAAUUUGAAACUUCCUAUAAUUAACCCCACGUACUGGACGCUCGGGCCGGUUGAGGAAACAUUCAGAAUUAUUAUCGAUGAUGAUAGUAAUGCAGGCUCGAGCGCGGUCGGCGGCGUCACAAUACCGGACGAUAUAUUUGUGGACCGCCAUUGGUUCAGGAAACUGUGCGCAGACCCGCUGGUUUAUUCCAAGAUAUGGUUCGCCGUCCACGACAACCAAUCGUUUCAGCAUUUGCUCCUGCUCAAAGUGCCAGUGCACGUAUACUCCCGACUGACCGGCAAAGUUCUCCCGCUCCCUGUGUUACACAAUGUCAC
rnacentral:lncRNA from 1 species